UUUUUUUUUGGUUGAAGAGACUUUCAACAAAAACAACAAGGGCGGGCUAAAGAAUUUCGGAUGUUUGUAUAUACAAAGAGCCCACGAUAUUGAUAUUGAUAUUUGAAAGAAAAAAAAAAGAUUUUUCUUUUUUUUUCGUAAGAGAAACAUUCAUUCAUCCUUAUGUAUAUGAAUGAAAUGGAAACAUAAGUCAUUACUUACUGAGAUGAUCAAACAAGUUGAUCUUUUUCAUCAUCAUCAAUAUCAUCCAUAUCACAUACCUAACGAGGAAUUUUUCUCAAAACAGACUAGCCCACCAUUUGGUCGUGGUCAAGUUAGUUCGUCUUUUAAAUGGCCUAUUAUUUUUCGAAUAAACAAACAAACGAAAAGUUGACGACAAUCAACAUCAGAACAUG